UCGGCCAUACCAUGCUGAAUAUACCGGUUCUCGUUAGAUCACCGAAGUCAAGCAUCAUUGGGCGCGGUCAGUACUUGGGUGGGUGACCACCAGGGAACACCGCGUGCCGUU
rnacentral:rRNA from 1 species